CCUGGUAGCUCAGUUGGUAAAGAAUCUGCCUUCAGUGCAGGAGACCCAGGUUCAAUCCCUGGGUCAGGA
rnacentral:tRNA from 1 species